rnacentral:rRNA from 1 species
CAGCAGCCGCGGGAAUACGUAGGUGGCAAGCGUUGUCCGGAAUUAUUGGGCGUAAAGGGCUCGCAGGCGGUUUCUUAAGUCUGAUGUGAAAGCCCCCGGCUCAACCGGGGAGGGUCAUUGGAAACUGGGAAACUUGAGUGCAGAAGAGGAGAGUGGAAUUCCACGUGUAGCGGUGAAAUGCGUAGAGAUGUGGAGGAACACCAGUGGCGAAGGCGACUCUCUGGUCUGAAACUGACGCUGAGGAGCGAAAGCGUGGGGAGCGAACAGGAUUAGAUACCCGAGUAGUCCCUGUCUCUUCACA